GGUGAACGCUGGCGGCGUGCCUAAUACAUGCAAGUCGGGCGAACAGAUGAGGAGCUUGCUCCUCUGACGUUAGCGGCGGACGGGUGAGUAACACGUGGAUAACCUACCUAUAAGACUGGGAUAACUUCGGGAAACCGGAGCUAAUACCGGAUAAUAUAUUGAACCGCAUGGUUCAAUAGUGAAAGACGGUUUUGCUGUCACUUAUAGAUGGAUCCGCGCCGCAUUAGCUAGUUGGUAAGGUAACGGCUUACCAAGGCAACGAUGCGUAGCCGACCUGAGAGGGUGAUCGGCCACACUGGAACUGAGACACGGUCCAGACUCCUACGGGAGGCAGCAGUAGGGAAUCUUCCGCAAUGGGCGAAAGCCUGACGGAGCAACGCCGCGUGAGUGAUGAAGGUCUUCGGAUCGUAAAACUCUGUUAUUAGGGAAGAACAAAUGUGUAAGUAACUAUGCACGUCUUGACGGUACCUAAUCAGAAAGCCACGGCUAACUACGUG
rnacentral:rRNA from 1 species